GUCUUUUUGUUAAAAAUUUAAAGUCUAAUCUGCCCAUUGAUUAAUUAAAAGGCUGCAGUAAAUUAACUGCACAAAGGUAGCAUAAUCAAUAGUUUUUUAAUUGGAAACUUGUAUGAAGGAUUGAACGAGAUAUCAACUUUCUAAGAAUAAUAAUAUGUUGAAUUUGAUUUAUAGAUUAAAAAGUCUAGAUAUAAUUAAAAGACGAUAAGACCCUAUAGAAUUUAAUAGUUAUGUUAAUUUAAUAAUGAUAUAGUUAAAUUGGAUUAGCUUGAUUAUUUUAUUGGGGAGAUAUUAAGAUUAAAAUAACUCUUAAUUUUUUUAAUCAAUAAUUUUUGAUAAAAGUUGAUCCUGUUUUAUGGAAUUAAGAACAAAUUACCU
rnacentral:rRNA from 1 species